UACGUAGGGUGCGAGCGUUAAUCGGAAUUACUGGGCGUAAAAGCGUGCGCAGGCGGUCCGCAAAGUCUGAUGUGAAAGCCCCGGGCUCAACCUGGGAACUGCAUUGGAAACUAACGGGCUCGAGUGUGGCAGAGGGGGGGUGGGAAUUCCACGUGUAGCAGUGAAAUGCGUAGAGAUGUGGAGGAACACCGAUGGCGAAGGCAGCCCCCCUGGGCUAACACUGACGCUCAGGCACGAAAGCGUGGGGAGCAAACAGG
rnacentral:rRNA from 1 species